GCUGGGUGAGGUGGUGCACACCUGUAAUUCCAGAGGCUUGGGAGGCUGAGGCAGGAGGAGUGCAAAUUCAAAUCCAGCCUCAG
rnacentral:sRNA from 1 species